CUCCUGGGUUAAAAUCAUUAUCAGGAUCAGGAGUCAACCAGCCAAAAAAUUUCAUAUCGCAGGCCCUAUUACAGGAACUGAGUGGGGAUCUUGUCUGGUGUGAGUUUGUAGAGGAUUGACAGUCUGUGUGCAGCCGCCACGGCACACCCCUCAGUGACCACAUCCGCCAUAAGCAGCCAGAGAUGAAACGAUAUGGAGAUUAUCGGGACAAAAAGCCUCCCAGCUUGUCACGGGAUGCAGAGCGUAUUGUACAUCCACAUGUAUUGAACACAAACCUGUCACCGUCUGUGACAGCCCCAUUCAUCACACACAAAGCCAAUCCUGUCAGCGGCACAAUGCGCUCUAUCUGUGCCUCUUCCCUCCCCCCUUCUAAGUGACAGCAUUGAAAUGAACAUUAGGACACUCGGCAGAGUCCCAAUAAUUACCCGUAUAUCCAGAGGCAGAGGGGCUUUGCCGUGCUGACAGAGGGAGCAUCAUUUCCUGAGUGUUCCCAGGGACCACAGACUGCAAUAACACCACUCAACAGGCCUAUCAAGUUGAUCCACAUCACAUUUUCACACAAUUGCAAACACCUAACCUAUUUAUGCUGUAAGCAACAGCAGCAAGCUAAUAA